UGCCAGCCGCCGCGGUAACACGUACUGUGCGAACGUUAUUCGGAAUCACUGGGCUUAAAGGGUGCGUAGGCGGAUUCGCAGGUCAGAUGUGAAAUGUAUCGGCUCAACCGGUAAUCUGCUUUUAAUACUGCUUUUCUUGAGUAUGGUAGGGGAAGAUGGAAUUCCUGGUGUAGCGGUGGAAUGCGUAGAUAUCAGGAAGAACACCAGCGGCGAAGGCGGUCUUCUGGUCCAAUACUGACGCUGAGGUUCGAAAGCUGAGGGAGCGAACAGGAUUAGAUA
rnacentral:rRNA from 1 species